rnacentral:rRNA from 1 species
UUCCAGACUCCUACGGGAGGCAGCAGUGGGGGAUAUUGCACAAUGGGGGGAACCCUGAUGCAGCGACGCCGCGUGAGUGAAGAAGUAAUUCGUUAUGUAAAGCUCUAUCAGCAGGGAAGAAUAAAUGACGGUACCUGAGUAAGAAGCCCCGGCUAACUACGUGCCAGCAGCCGCGGUAAUACGGAGGAUGCGAGCGUUAUCCGGAUUUAUUGGGUUUAAAGGGUGCGCAGGCGGUCUGUUAAGUCAGCGGUAAACGCCCGGGGCCCCCCCCCGCCCCGCCGUUGAAACUGGCAGUCUCGAGUUGGAGAGAAGUAUGCGGAAUGCGCGGUGUAGCGGUGAAAUGCAUAGAUAUCGCGCAGAACUCCGAUUGCGAAGGCAGCAUGCCGGCUCCACACUGACGCUGAGGCACGAAAGCGUGGGUAUCGAACAGGAUUAGAUACCCUGGUAGUU